GCCAUCCAUCUCAGUCUGCUUCCUGGGAAACUCAACCUAAGGCCCCUUCCGAGGGCGCUCAUCACAUUCAGAGCUGCCACCUGCUCAUCUCCCGGCAGCCCCUUCCCAACUAAGACCCCAGCAGAGGAAGCCUGGGAACCUCAGACCUUCGCAAAAGGCCUUGUGGCACCAAAGCCCCAGGGUCACCUCAACCUCCACAAGCUCAGAAAGCCUUGAAGGUUGUUGGGCUUCUUUAUUUAUACGUUUUACUACAUUAGCUAAUUAGCUUUCUUCCCAGGCCCCAUUACUGUUCCCUCAAGUGUAUCGUGGCCUCAGCUCUAAUGACAGGCAGCCACUCAGCCUGGCCAGAGAAGACAUUCUCUUUCAGGCCCACAGGGAUCAGUCGGGAAGGAGAGAGGAAGGAGAGGGCAGAUUGGAUUACGGGGUGUCAGGCAAGGGUCACUGCUCCCCCCACCUAUUUCUGCCUUCCAGCAAGGACAGGGAGAUCAGCAUUUCCCUUCUUGCAGUGGGGCGUCCUUCCUGAGCCAAGAGAAGAAGACCCACGUGGCUUACUCGAAGACAGCUGAAUCUUCAUAUCUGCUUCUGCAUUCAAUCUGGUGCCACAUCUUGUUUUGGUGAACACGAAUGAAGAAAAUCUGGCCUGACAGACAUGUAGUUGGAAAAGGGGGAAGUACUUUAAUAGUCUUUUUGGAUAAUUAUGGAUAUUCUUCUUUGAGACUACAUGAAAAGUUGACAAGUGGGUAAGCGAUGUUGCAAUGUAAAAUCUGAAAUCAUGUGAAUGAACUCUUUCUACUCCGUCACUUUAAGAUGCAGUGGUCUGGCUUGCCCUUUGAAUGGGUCUUUUACCCAUGCACGAUUUGAUAACAUCACGUAUUUUAUUCAUUUGGAAACUAUUGCUUCGCUGCCUCCCCCGCAGAUCUUUCAAAUAUUGACACAUUUCAUUAUACAGUAUCAAAAACCAUAUGCCUCCAUAUCACCACAGAUCUCAUGGGAGAAGCGUAAUGGGAAGUUGCCACCCUCAUAGUUGCAGAUAAAAUUUUCCAAACUUCUAAUUUUCACUUAGCUUGAAUUUUAUCAUUGGCAACAAGUACUGUU
rnacentral:lncRNA from 1 species